UAAAGUUAAGGAUAGUGAGAUUUGUACGGAAUACGUUUUGAACAGGCGGGAUUGUCCCAUUUCACAUGUUUCAGGACAAAAUAGCUGCUGAAGUCUUCGAAUUAAAAUGCAUUUGUUACCUUAUUCAGUCGCUCUCUUGGUCGUGUCGAUGAUGGGUUCUACAACUUUGAGUUUGGACUAUGACUUGAAAGUGGCUAUAAACGGGAAGAUUAAGGUGUCUGGUCAGAGACGAGUUCGUUCGUUGGUUAGCUGCCACUCAUUGAUUCCAAUAACAUGUGAAUGCAGGAGAGAACCGCGGAAAAGAAACAAGAACGUGAUGGGUUGGGGUUGUACUGGCGCUAGAUUUCGGCAUGAUGAGAGGAGCGAUGUUACUUGGAUAUGUGUAGCGUUCAACGAUCCGUGUAAAAGAAAACGCAUGAACAAGUGUAGGAGAAGAGUUAUGGCACGGGUGACAUGCCUUAACAUUGGACAAGAGUCCAAACAUGUCAAAGUAAUGCACAACACCCGCAGCCUCAUUCAAACAGAAGAUCUUCGACGCAUGUCGCAUGUUCAUUGCCCAACGGGGUUUCGAACGAUCGUCUGUAAUGUACCGUUUUGGCAUGACAGACGGAUUAUGAAGAAAUGUGGGUUGCAACUAGGUCCCAAAAGUGCCUGUAGCGUUCUACAUGUAACAGAGAGGUUUCGUCCCAAUAACUGUGGGCC